AGGAAAUAUUAAUUUGUAGAAACUUAAAAAAGGUUACUGCUGAUCUCCAUGCACAUAAGAGGAAGUAUUUUCACUUACCAGCAGGGACUAAAGAACUCUCAAGGGAAGUAAAACGUAUUAAUAAGGACAACCUUUAAAAGGAUGAGUUCCCCAACCUUUUAGCAGUAAAACUGCCUGAACAAGGUUAAGAAAAUCCUUCACAUGAAAACAGCUGAGGAGCAGGGCUCCAGCAGAAAUUUUCCAAUGACUGAUGGAAUGUUAACUUGAAGGUCUACCUUGUCAAUUCUCGAGACUGGAGUUCUUCAGACUUCGACCUGGCUUAUUUCCCUGCUGGGAAUCAGAGAUGUCUUGGUAGAGACUUCUCACAAGUGAUCCUGUCAUCUGUCAGAAAUGGCUGCCUCAUUAUCAAGAAACAGAAGGAAAAGCAAAGCAACCAAAGAACUCACCAUCCACUCAGGCACGUGAAAAGCUGAGGUGCCCUCAUUACCGUCCCCAUUCUCCAUAGUACAGGCUUGGGUAAUAUACGUCCUGAAGCAAAAGAAAGCUGGUUUGGAAAUACCGGGGUUUUCUGAGUGCCAAAAAGUAGAACCAAAUCUAGUAAUUCAGAAGUUGACAAUAUCUAGCAGAAGCUGCAUCCCCUUUCACAAAGGUUUCCUAUUAAAAUCAAGAUCAUUAAUAAGUCAAAUGCCUGACACGUCCCUUACUGGCCAGCUUCAAAACUGCUUCUGCUUCAAAAUCAGAGCCGAUGCAAAGUUCUGCACCCCGGUACUGAACUUUCUACAGGGCACUCACUGUUUAAUGCUCCCCGAACACUCUAACCCCACCUCCUCUGUGGGGACUUUCUGCAGCAACAGUUAGGCUUCUGCUCUUUCCCGGUGUAUAAGGCACUUGUUCAUUUUCUCCCGCCCCUCAGGACACGUCAUUGGAGGUGCUGAUACCAAGAUCAAUAAAGAUCGAGGUCAAGAAGACA